CCUACGGGUGGCUGCAGUGAGGAAUAUUGGUCAAUGGACGAGAGUCUGAACCAGCCAAGUAGCGUGAAGGAUGACUGCCCUAUGGGUUGUAAACUUCUUUUAUAUGGGAAUAAAAUGUUCCACGUGUGGGAUUUUGUAUGUACCAUAUGAAUACGGAUCGGCUAACUCCGUGCCAGCAGCCGCGGUAAUACGGAGGAUCCGAGCGUUAUCCGGAUUUAUUGGGUUUAAAGGGAGCGUAGGUGGAUUGUUAAGUCAGUUGUGAAAGUUUGCGGCUCAACCGUAAAAUUGCAGUUGAAACUGGCAGUCUUGAGUACAGUAGAGGUGGGCGGAAGUCGUGGUGUAGCGGUGAAAUGCUUAGAUAUCACGAAGAACUCCGAUUGCGAAGGCAGUUCACUGGACUGCAACUGACACUGAGGCUCGAAAGUGUGGGUAUCAAACAGGCUUGGGUACCCCGUAGUC
rnacentral:rRNA from 1 species